UCGAACGCGAAAGCCCCGCAAGGGGUAAGUAGAGUGGCAAACGGGUGAGUAACACGUGGGUGACCUGCCUUCGAGUGGGGGAUAACGUCCCGAAAGGGACGCUAAUACCGCAUGACAUCCUGCUCUUGGACGAGCGGAGAUCAAAGCCGGGGAUCGCAAGACCUGGCGCUUGAAGAGGGGCCCGCGCCUGAUUAGCUAGUUGGUGGGGUAAUGGCUCACCAAGGCGACGAUCAGUAUCCGGCCUGAGAGGGCGGACGGACACACUGGGACUGAGACACGGCCCAGACUCCUACGGGAGGCAGCAGUGGGGAAUUGUUCGCAAUGGGCGCAAGCCUGACGACGCAACGCCGCGUGGAGGACGAAGAUCUUCGGGUCGUAAACUCCUGUCGAGCGGGAAGAAACCCGCGGGGAUGAAUAAUCCCUGUGGCUGACGGUACCGCUAAAGGAAGCCCCGGCUAACUCCGUGCCAGCAGCCGCGGUAAUACGGGGGGGGCAAGCGUUG
rnacentral:rRNA from 1 species